rnacentral:rRNA from 1 species
GACGAACGCUGGCGGCGUGCCUAACACAUGCAAGUCGAACGCGGCCGUCGGAGCUAGCUGCGCAGGGUUAGUUAACAACUGGUGAGUAACGCUUAGGUUACGUGCCAGUUACCGAGAGAGAACCUAAUAAAACAUAAUCUAAUCGCGCCAAAGAUUUACUGCCUUAGGAUAGUCCCGCGUUGGAUUAGCUAGUUGGUAUGGUAGAUGCCUACCAAGGGGACGAUCCAUAGCUGGUCUGAGAGGAUGACCAGGCACACUGGGACUGAGACACGGCCCAGACUCCUACGGGAGGCAGCAGUGGGGAAUAUUCGACAAUGGGCGAAAGCCUGAUCCAGCAAUGCCGCGUGAGUGAUGAAGGACUUAGGGUUGUAAAGCUCUGUUACCCGGGAUGAUAAUGACAGUACCGGGAGAAUAAGCUCCGGCUAACUCCGUG